rnacentral:rRNA from 1 species
UACGUAGGGGGCGAGCGUUGUCCGGAAUCAUUGGGCGUAAAGCGCGUGUAGGCGGCCCGGUAAGUCCGCUGUGAAAGUCCAGGGCUCAACCCUGGGAUGCCGGUGGAUACUGUCGGGCUCGAGUCCGGAAGAGGCGAGUGGAAUUCCUGGUGUAGCGGUGGAAUGCGCAGAUAUCAGGAGGAACACCAAUAGCGAAGGCAGUCCCCUGGGCCUGUACUGACACUGAGGAGCGAAAGCGUGGGGAGCGAACAGG